UAAUGAAAGUAGAAGAAAAAUACUUUCAAAUGACACUGAGAGUGUCGAUUCAUCUUUCCAUGCGACACUUUGAGAGGCAAUCGUAAUUUUGAGGGUUUCACAUCGUUAUGCCGCAAUCACUUACAAUACUGGCCCCGGUUUCCGGCAACUUUUGUGGAACACAAAUACACAAAUUUGCAAAAAUAUGCAUCAAGUAUUUCAAAAGUUAUAGCGAAACGAAAGAAGAACAUAGAGGAAUGAAUAAAUUUAGAUUUUUACAUUAAAAAUAAUUGUAUUUCAAAGUAGAUGACAAAAUUUUGUGUAAAAUUUUCCGCCGUAGAUAUUUUGUUGAGAACUUUUAUGAACCUAAAGCUAGAAGCCAAAGUUAGUAGCCAAACGUGUUGAAUGUUUCGAAAGUAUAAAAAUGCAAUCCAGAUUUAUUUUCGGGAUUCUAUAAAAGUAUGGGGGUCAAAAGUAUUUUACGAAAUUUUGAUUGACGGUCUCCUCUACCUCAAUAGAAUAAAUAUUAAAAAGAUAUGCUGCUAAUUCCGGCUGCUACCGUCAGCCUCAAUGGACUUUUUUUUGGACAACCACGGCGAUGCGAGAUAAUUCACAAAAAACAAAAAUACGAAUGUCAGCCAAUUUAUGGACAUUUUUGAAACUUCCCAUCUAGAGCGAUCCACCAACAUUAUAACAAGUUACUGGCGAUGCCUGUCUGUACAUAGUAGAAAAAAUUCAAGAGAGACAAAUAGAGGUGGUUGGCGGUAGUUGGAGGUGGUUGGACGUGGUGGAAGGCGGUUAGGGGUGGACGAGGUGGUCGAGGAGGAGGACGAGGAAGAAGAGGAAAAGAGGAUUUGUGCACGGUAUAACCCCAGGUGGUUAUCGUUGUUUGUUGGGGGUGGUUGGAGGUGGUCGCAGGUGGUCGGAAGUAUUCGACGGCGGUUGCGGGUGAUCGAGGUGGACAAGGAGGAGGACGACAAAGACGAGGAGAACAAGGUGGACAAGGAAGACAAGGAUUUGUGCUCGGUACAACCCGAGGUGGUUAUCGGUGGUUGUUCGAGGUGGUUGGCGA
rnacentral:lncRNA from 1 species